AAAAACACUUUUUGUAGGGGCGGCGCCUGGAGCCCUCUUUCUUUUUUCUCGCAGAUCUGUGUGUGUACGCGGCGCGAAGCGAAUAUAUAGAUAUAAAUGAAGGAGUGGAAAGGAGAAAAAAGGGACACAGCACAUGAUUUGAAGGUUCACAUUAGAUUGGUUUGGAAGGGGGGUCUCCUGUCGUGUGUUACUCAACUUUAAAGUUCACUCGACCGUAUAGCCGGUGGAAUAAGAAAAUAAAAGGACUUGGUG
ensembl:ncRNA C15B12.12 ncRNA